AUUGAACGCUGGCGGCAGGCCUAACACAUGCAAGUCGGACGGUAGCACAGAGGAGCUUGCUCCUCGGGUGACGAGUGGCGGACGGGUGAGUAAUGUCUGGGGAUCUGCCCGAUAGAGGGGGAUAACCACUGGAAACGGUGGCUAAUACCGCAUAACGUCGCAAGACCAAAGAGGGGGACCUUCGGGCCUCUCACUAUCGGAUGAACCCAGAUGGGAUUAGCUAGUAGGCGGGGUAACGGCCCACCUAGGCGACGAUCCCUAGCUGGUCUGAGAGGAUGACCAGCCACACUGGAACUGAGCAACGGUCCAGACUCCUACGGGAGGCAGCAGUGGGGAAUAUUGCACAAUGGGCGCAAGCCUGAUGCAGCCAUGCCGCGUGUAUGAAGAAGGCCUUCGGGUUGUAAAGUACUUUCAGCGGGGAGGAAGGCGGUGAGGUUAAUAACCUCGCCGAUUGACGUUACCCGCAGAAGAAGCACCGGCUAACUCCGUGCCAGCAGCCGCCGUAA
rnacentral:rRNA from 1 species